AACUCAUGUUGAGGACAUUUAUGCAAGAGAUCAUUGAACCUUUCCUAUGUCUCGAAAAGAGAUUCCAAUUCCAUUUGGACAAAGGAAGAUAUCUCAUUCCUGAGCUU